CCCCCUCCCCGGAUGCAUUUUCUAAUCAGUUCACAUGAUUGAGCUUCCACCAAGUGAUGCUUUACUUAAUUCCUUUCCGCCUGUAGGGGUGUGAGGCUUGGAGGGCCUCUCGUCAAAACUUUGGAGGGCUCUGUCAGUUUGAAAAGAACAUGACCUUUAAAUUGUAUCAGUAUGUUUGCUGGUGCAUAAGGGAGAGGAAAAGGUUUGUCCUGAUGGAAAACCACGCCGAGACCAGGGAGUAAUUCAGAGGGAACCAGCCCAGGAAGUUAAUUUGUUUAUACAUAAUUUGCUAAGUGGGGGCGAGAAUGGGGUCCACGCACCUGCUGGCUGCAAAGAGCCCACAGCCCGGGUCUGGGGACGGUUAACCUGUUUAGACAAUUUUUCUUCCCGUUGCUUCUCCCCUCCGAGCCACCACUAUCAUAGAACAGGUCAACCCAUAUAGUCCCGUUGCUUGUGAUUGAGGGACAGAUUGUAAGAAAGAAUUUUCUCCUAUAUGGCUGACAGCUCUGGGGCUGAAUUAUUAACCUCCGGCGAGAUUAGCAAGGAUGCUGUGUGACGGAAGUUGGAAGGUGUGGACUGGUUUUGAAAAAGUUCACUGAGAGACUGCUUUUUAGAACUCAAGGCAUAUAUUCUGAUUUUAUUUAUUUAUUUUAAGUUUAUUUAUUUGUCUUUGAGAAAGAGAGAGAGAGAGAGUGCAUGAGCUGGGGAGGGGCAGAGAGAGAGAGAGAGACCCAGAACCCGAAGCAGGCUCCAGGCUCCGAGCUGUUAGCUCAGAGCCCGACGCGGGGCUCAAACUCACAAACCGCGAGGUCAUGACCUGAGCCGAAGUCAGACACUCAACCAACUGAGCCACCCAGGCGCUCCUAAUCUCAUUUCUUUUUUUAAAAGUGUUAUUAGAAUAGGAAGCAUUCAGAAAGCCUAUCUGUUUUACACACACACACACACGCACACACACACAAACAAUUGCGUGGAUACUUUUGUACGCUGUGUGCAGUUUUCAUUGUUUAUUUGUGUGAUUUUCUUUUCUUUUUUUUUUUUAAGUUGCAUGACUUUGAAUUUAGCAAACCUUUAAGUCUGACCCUUUGUGCCAGGGUUUGCCGCUCCUCUUCUCUUUCUUCCAGUUAAAAUAUAUCGACACGUGAUGCAGAAAUAAUCAGAGGUGACGAAAACGGGCAUUGCCCGCUUUAAAGCGGUGACCAAAAAACAACAAAAUUUGAGGCGGGAGCAGAUGUAUACUAAUUUUAAUUGUUUCAUUUGAAACAUGUUCAUCUUUCAGAAUCGAGCAAGCUGCCUGCCUUGUCAUUCCCGUCCUCUGAGGGGAGAGAGACGGUCCCUCGCUGGAGCCGAGUGAGUGUGCUUAUGGAGAUGGGGAGUCGGGAAGAGGGGCUGGGUUGCUUGGCUCUGAGGUUGGGAUAGAGCCCCUUGCUUUCUUGGGGAGGGUUAUGUGAUUCCGGAGAUUAAGAAUUUUGGAGGAGAAACACAAAAAGGUGCCUCCAAAGGCACUCACAUUAGGAGUAAGACGUGUGGUGGCCUCUCUCUAUAAACACAUUGUAAC
rnacentral:lncRNA from 1 species